rnacentral:lncRNA from 1 species
UUAAACUACUUCACAUGUUAUUCCAAUAGAGCUAGGAGUGUUCUAGGGUCAAGAUAACACCACAAAACACCCAAAAACACCAUUUGAGGAGUUCACGGCCAUAAACCUAUGAGUUUACGGCCGUAAACUCCAAGGUGUGGGGUUUGUUAGAUGGUGAACUCCUAUACAAGGCCCUUUGAUGAUUCAAACCCUUUUGCCUUGUCCCGUAGCAACUUAGAUGCAACCAUUUGAACCUUAAACACUCAUAAAAGUGUUUAAAUGUUUUCUAAGUGUCUUAACUUAUUUAUUUAAGUUAUUAUAUGUCUAAUUAGUUAUAUAUAUGCUUAUUAUAUGAUAACUAGGCUCGUGCGUGUAAACCAGUCUCCGUUUGCCACCUAGCACGGUGUCCGACACUGCAAUUCAAACGACUCACCACAAGUGAGUUCAUACCCCUUGAAUCAACCUUUGAAAUGAUUUUAAAUGUUUUAUAACACUUUAUGGGGGGGAAUACAAGUCAAAUACUUAUAAGUUAUUACUUCAAUCACAUGUGAUUGUGUUUAAUCACAUGUGAUUAAUAACUAGGAAAACAACGAUUUUCACACUGUUCAAACUGUUUUUCAACUGCUUUACUAUUGAAAUGUUUUACAAACUGUUUUACUAUCCAAACUUACUUAUAGACUGUGAUUCAAUCAAAUGCUUCUUAUACUUAAACUGUUUUAUCAACUUAUGCUUUCAAAAUGAUUUAUAGAUCGACAUCAAGUCAAUCUUCUCUUGAAAUUAUAUUUAUGCUUCAAAAUGUUUUAUGAAAACUUAUUUAUGCUUUAUAUAUACAAUUGCAUGCCCAUAUAUGUAUAGAUAUAUAAAUAAUGUUCAAAAGGCUUAGGAAUGCCAUCCGCCCUAUUUCCUUUUCCUCGAUUUGGAUGUGGUCUGGUGGGAUUUCGGGUGACCAUCCGAAGGUCGUUUCCAUAUUACUUAUAUAUCAUAUAUACAUGUAUAGACAUAAAAGUACUUCCAUAUUCAUACUCAUCAGUACAUCAUUAGCUGGUUACCAUCGGGGUAACGCAGGAUCAUACAUAUACAGAUAUACUAGAAACAAUACAUAUACAGAUAUACUAGAAACAAUACAUAUACAGAUAUACUAGAAACAAUACAUAUACAGAUAUACUAGAAACAAUACAUAUACAGAUAUACUAGAAACAAUACAUAUACAGAUAUACUAGAAACAAUACAUAUACAGAUAUACUAGAAACAAUACAUAUACAGAUAUACUAGAAACAAUACAUAUACAGAUAUACUAGAAACAAUACAUAUACAGAUAUACGAGAAACAAUACAUAUACAGAUAUACGAGAAACAAUACAUAUACAGAAAUACUUGAAACAAUACAUAUACAGAUAUACGAGAAACAAUACAUAUACAGAUAUACGAGAAACAAUACAUAUACAGAUAUACGAGAAACAAUACAUAUACAGAUAUACGAGAAACAAUACAUAUACAUAAAUACGAGAAACAAUACAUAUACAGAUAUACGAGAAACAAUACAUAUACAGAUAUACGAGAAACAAUACAUAUACAGAUAUACGAGAAACAAUACAUAUACAUAAAUACGAGAAACAAUACAUAUACAGAUAUACGAGAAACAAUACAUAUACAGAUAUACGAGAAACAAUACAUAUACAUAUAUACGAGAAACAAUACAUAUAC